rnacentral:misc_RNA from 1 species
AACACUGUUAACCUGCGGUACCUGCGGAAGGAUCAUCAUCGAAUUCAUAUCCCCCUCCUCUCCCGGAGGGGAGCCAUGAUAAACCUUCUGUGCACCGUAAACCGUUCACUUUGGCAGGCUUUGGUGGUGAGCGUGAGCUCACCUCCAAUCUCGCGUUCCCUCCCUAAGGCGUUACGCGUGGCGGCCUGCCGAAGUCCUCCCAUUAAAAACACGUUUUCGAACACGUCUGAAAAUUUCCUU